UAGAUAAAUUGAUAUUCAUUUAUAAUUAUGUGGAGAUGGCUCGAGUAACAGGUGUCCCAAUUUCUUUUCUGCUUGCUAGGGGCCAAAGCAUUAAGGUACUUUCUCAACUUUUAAGGUGACUCCUGAAGAUGUUCGAAAACUUAAUCUCCCUCCAGAAUCAGUGAACAAAACUCCAUCUGGGGAAACAUUUGUUAAAUCAAAUUUGCAGAAGGCUAGUAUUGGAAUGGAUAACUUGAACGCUUAAUGCACAAAGUGGAGCAGUUUUAGGUUGAUUAUGAUCUUUUACCAAGUAUUUAGGCUGAUGAGCAUCUCUAUUAGUGUAAUUUGAUAUAUUAUGAGCAGCUCUAACUUGUAUUGUUUCUGUAUUUUUCUUCGGUUUUUAGUUUUGGAAUUUAAACUCGAGAUUUAU